rnacentral:rRNA from 1 species
GAUGAACGCUGGCGGCGUGCCUAACACAUGCAAGUCGAGCGGAGAAAGUUCUUCGGAACUUUCUUAGCGGCGGACGGGUGAGUAACACGUGGGUAACCUGCCUUAUAGAGGGGGAUAGCCUUCCGAAAGGAAGAUUAAUACCGCAUAACAUUUUUGUUUCGCAUGAAAUAAAAAUCAAAGGAGCAAUCCGCUAUGAGAUGGACCCGCGGCGCAUUAGCUAGUUGGUGAGGUAAUGGCUCACCAAGGCGACGAUGCGUAGCCGACCUGAGAGGGGGAUCGGCCACAGUGGAACUGAGAUACGGUCCAGACUCCUACGGGAGGCAGCAGUGGGGAAUAUUGCACAAUGGGGGAAACCCUGAUGCAGCAACGCCGCGUGAGUGAUGAAGGCCUUCGGGUUGUAAAGCUCUGUCUUCGGGGACGAUAAUGACGGUACCCGAGGAGGAAGCCACGGCUAACUACGUGCCAGCAGCCGCCGUAAUAC